UGGAGUGGUGGUAAUGUAUAGCUCAGGUGUUGCUAGUCACUUCACUUUGCUGGUGAGGACUUCCACCGCUGAGGACCACCAGACAGGCUUCGACACUUCCAGGCAGAAGAGGACUCCGCCGCCCAGCAUGAAGAUGGUGGCGCCCCAGCCGAGUCCGUAGCCCCAGUUGAAUUCGUGAUAGGUUUGCAGAACCGUCCCGUCGAUGAACUUGAUUGGGUAAAGGACCAAAGCGCAGGCCU